GGAGUCUGGGCCGUGUCUCAGUCCCAAUGUGGCCGUCCGCCCUCUCAGGCCGGCUACUGAUCGUCGCUUUGGUGGGCCGUUACCCCGCCAACUGGCUAAUCAGACGCGGAUCCAUCUCUCACCGAUAAAUCUUUCCUCACAGGAUCAUGCGAUCCCGUGAGCGUAUGCGGUAUUACCAGCCGUUUCCAGCUGCUAUCCCCCUGUGAAAGGCAGGUUAUCCACGCGUUACUCACCCGUCCGCCACUAAACUAAAAAGAAUCACUCCGAAAAGAUCUUCCAAUCAGUCCCGUUCGACUUGCAUGUGUUAGGCACGCCGCCAGCGUUCAUC
rnacentral:rRNA from 1 species